AAAAAAACACGAUCGAGAGCCGGACUGGGCAGCGAGCCAGCGGCCUUUCCUCCUCUUCAUGGACAGCGCUGCUCCUCCGCGGCUAGGGUUACCGCCGCCGCCGCGGUCGCAGCCGCCGUCGCCGCCGCCGUCGUCCUGCGCUCGUGUCCUCUCCAUCUCCCGCCUGCCGGAUGUCCGCCCGGAGCUCCACCUCCUCAAACCCUGCCAGUGCUCUGCCCCCUCCUCCUCGUUUGUCGCUCGGGGGCAUGGCGUCGUCUGGGACGUACCAGCCCGCACCCUCAAGGAGGCGGAGGACGCCUGCCUCCUUGCCAGUCCUGGCGCCUCCAAUGGCCGGCCGGCUCCAGUAGCAGCCACCAACGUACGUGAUCUCCCCCGGCUACCUUUAUCUAAAGCUCAAGGCUCGAAGGGAUGAGGUGGGCCAAGCCGGCGCACACGGCAAGUGGAUGCGGCUGCAGCUCCGACGCGGGCGCCGCAGAGGUGUAUGUGGAGCUGCUGCGGCUGGCGAUGGACGGCCGCGACGGCGACGUCAGCUUCCACGAGUUCAAUCACCUCCACUGCUACAUCAGGAGGUAGCUAGGGUGUAAUCAUGCACAAAGCGUUGGGUUCUCCAUGGAUCGUUUUGCGAUAACUACAACCAUGAGAGAACUUGAACUUAUUUGGGUGGCAAAUAGGAUGCACAUUGAGAAUCUCAACUCCUUGAUUUCCCCCUGUACUGAAUAGUGCAGGUUAAGGGAGCAUUCCUCAAUUUUUUUGGGGUUCAAUGGAAACGCAUGAGUGUGGAGAAUUAAGGCACUCGAUGACUCAGGAAUGUGGAUGGAGAGAACGACAGUUGAAGACAUGGAUAUUGCUGUGCGAGCACAUCUAAAGGGAUGGAAGUUUCUGUAUGGAAUUCUUAACGAUGUUCAGUGUCGGUGUGAAUUGUCGGAGUCAUACGAAGCAUACAGAAAACAACAAGAUAGAUGGCAUUCUGGUCCGGUGCAGUUGUUUAGACUCUGCUUUGUGGACAUUAUCAAAUCAAAGGGUCAUCAUUUAUGUAUUUCCUCUUUGGAGGGCGAUCUUGUUGCCCACUGAGAAGCAAUCCAAGCAGCAGAGAGUAGGGUCUACGCCGAACCUCGACUCCCUAUCAAAGGAGGGGAAGUGGCUGCGAGCACGGCGUUGGGUCGAUGGUGUCGUGCCUCGGCAGCCGAGAUCAGGCAAGGCAGAUGGGAAGCAACAGUGUCGCCUCUCCCCCGAGCUCCAGAUCCAUGGCAGCAGCAAUGAGGUGAGCAGCCGCAAAGGUUCCCACCUGAACAGAUCGAGCUGUGACACCGGUACAACCACAACCUCCAAUACUACUACGACUGAUAGCUAUCUUCUACCCAAAUUGAUCAGGUUGGGGAUGGAGGGUGGUAAGAGGACCAUGUUAUCAUAGCAGUGGCGGUGGCUCAUCUUGGGUUACUCCGUCAUCCUAUAAGGUCGCCGACAGUCUAUCAGAUCUCUAGGAGGUGGCGUCCAGUGGUGAUGUCAGAAUGGCAGGGCCAGCUGUUGAUCCUGUAUGGCGUAUAGCACCGUAGAUGAAGUUCUUUGCCUGUCGCACCACUGUGCAGUUCAAGCCACUUACUAAUCCCUCCAUCUCAUUCUACUCUGCUCACAAGGCGUUUGACAGAUUGCAUCAUAUGUUCUUUCUUCACCAUUGUCUCUUAAUAUCAAUUGAACUCUGACAUUUCCCCUUCAUAUAUAUGGCGACCGAUACAAUAGCAUGCGGAUGUUUUGAAGUUGAGGCAGCUGAUGUUAUAUGUACCCCCUAUACCGAAGAAGUGGGCAUUCCAAUGGAUAGAUUGGGUCAAAUGUAAUCCAUAUAUACUACUUUUGAGAUCCAAUGGAGACAAGAAAAAUCGUGUUGCUGCUUCUGCUUUCGAUUGAACUCAGGACGACAAGCACUGAUUAUAUUUCAUUGUGAUAGCCGCUGCUGACACAGCUACUAUGGGCACGUGCAACUUCUAUUUUGCUCGCCACCAGAGACCACCGCCUAGAUCCAUCUCUUCUCAACCAUGCCGACACGGUGGUCAAGGGCGCUUACAACCUGUGAGGACCUGCGUUCUCCUUCUCUCGAGCCUUCGUCGCGAUGAAGCCGUGGGAGGAGAGGGGCACGCGCAUGAUGGAUCUGCUCAAGCACCUCAAGCAGCGCAUCUUCAAGGUACAGCUGCCAUCAACAUAAAUGUGGCUAUGUUGGAAGAUGGUACAGAAAUGUUCAUGCCGCUCAAAGCUAUUUGCAUGAAGCACUAUUAUUAGUAGUUACAGAAGAUGGCACUUACAAGGGUAUCCACCUCCUAUGAUGGAUAUUUUCGCUGUAGAACUUAUGCUAACUGGAUAUCAUAAUAUAUAUUAUCCAUGUAAGAAUCUAUUCAUUCUCAUUUUGUGAGUUCUCCUUAAUCGUUAUUUGAUUUUUAGAAUUUCACAUGAUGAUCCUUCAGGACCAUGUCAGUGUCUCCUAGAGAUUAGGUUCUUGUUUAGCUAAUGCUCGUGUUGCUGCUUAGAUGGCGAAACAUUGAAUCCUUUAGUGUCCAUAACAUUGCUUUGCAAACCCCCGCAAAGGAAAACAUUGCUUUGCAAACCUCUGAGACACUAGGGAUUGAUUGUAUUGCUUGGUUCUGGUA